UACGAAGGGGGCUAGCGUUGCUCGGAUUGACUGGGCGUAAAGGGCGCGUAGGCGGUUCGUACAGUCAGACGUGAAAUUCCUGGGCUCAACCUGGGGGCUGCGUUUGAUACGUGCGGACUUGAGUGCGGAAGAGGGUCGUGGAAUUCCCAGUGUAGAGGUGAAAUUCGUAGAUAUUGGGAAGAACACCGGUGGCGAAGGCGGCGACCUGGUCCGAUACUGACGCUGAGGCGCGAAAGCGUGGGGAACAAACAGG
rnacentral:rRNA from 1 species